rnacentral:rRNA from 1 species
CCUACGGGACGCAGCAGUGGGGAAUAUUGCACAAUGGGGGGAACCCUGAUGCAGCGACGCCGCGUGGGCGAGGAAGUAUUUCGGUAUGUAAAGCCCUAUCGGCAGGGAAGAAGAAAUGACGGUACCUGAAUAAGAAGCACCGGCUAAAUACGUGCCAGCAGCCGCGGUAAUACGUAGGGGGCAAGCGUUAUCCGGAUUUACUGGGUGUAAAGGGAGCGUAGACGGCAGUGCAAGUCUGAAGUGAAAGGCAAGGGCGCAACCCUUGGACUGCUUUGGAAACUGUGCUGCUGGAGUGUCGGAGAGGG